UGCAUAUCAAAAAGCGGAGGAAAAGAAACUAACAAGGAUUCCCCUAGUAACUGCGAGUGAAGCGGGAAAAGCUCAAAUUUAAAAUCUGGUGGUCUUUGGCCAUCCGAAUUGUAAUCUAGAGAAGUGUUAUCCGCGCUGGACCGUGUACAAGUCUCCUGGAAUGGAGCGUCAUAGAGGGUGAGAAUCCCGUCUUUGACACGGACUACCAGGGCUUUGUGAUACACUCUCAACGAGUCGAGUUGUUUG
rnacentral:rRNA from 1 species